CACAAAGCAAGGGACGGUCGCCGGUUCCGGCCGCGCCUCUUAAAGGGGCAGCAUCCGCCCGAGCCUGAGGAAGGUGGACGUUAGCAGACCCUAACACAAACCAGCUCCGUCCGGGAGUUGGGCGAGAAUCUUUUCCUUUGCAAUUAACACUGACAACACUGCUAUUUGCACGAAGCCACUGGAAUUCUCUUAACAUCUGUGCCCCUUUGGGACCAUGCUCAUAUGGAAGAUAGAAAAGAUCAGCAAGUAACUGUAAAUCCUCCAAAGUCACCGGUUCUGCUGUAUACAAAGGUUUCUCAUUUGGACCUGGUACAAAUUGCUCCUUGUUUGUCUGUUCAUCAGUCUGCAUUGGGGCAACAUCACUAAUGCAAUCUUCUUGCAUUGACAUCUCUGGAGACUUUGAUUCAGCUAUGCUUUCUUUGUCAGUAUCCAUUGGUUUCAACUCUUCAGCCAUUUUAGCUUCCACAAUUUCGGAAUGGUGCCAAACCAGAAGAACAAAGAAUCAGUGCUGACUCAGGUACAGUCACAAGGGAACAGAGAACUGGCCUCUAGGGGCAGGAAGGAGAACUACACAAUUCUGCUUUGAAAAACAAAAUGAUGUGACCAAGAACUCUUCUCCUCUAUUAAGAGUUCUCUAUUAUUUGAAUUGUCUUCCUCUAAGACUUUUUUACAACUAGUGUACCUGAACAUAUAAAUGUUCCUGUACACUUUAUGUAUGUGUGUAUAUACACAGAUAAAGACACACCCGUCCUUUCUGAGGCGGAAACAUGUUGAUUCUACUGGAAUCUUUCUGACCACAUUUAACUGAAUAGAUGUUAAUAAAAUAUAACAGCUGGUAAGUCAUAA